UACGAAGGGGGCUAGCGUUGCUCGGAAUUACUGGGCGUAAAGGGCGCGUAGGCGGACAGUUUAGUCAGAGGUGAAAGCCCAGGGCUCAACCUUGGAACUGCCUUUGAUACUGGCUGUCUUGAGUUCGGGAGAGGUGAGUGGAAUGCCGAGUGUAGAGGUGAAAUUCGUAGAUAUUCGGCGGAACACCAGUGGCGAAGGCGGGCAUCUGGGCUAACACUGACGCUGAGGCGCGAAAGCUAGGGGAGCAAACAGG
rnacentral:rRNA from 1 species